rnacentral:rRNA from 1 species
UGGGGAAUUUUGGACAAUGGGGGAAACCCUGAUCCAGCCAUCCCGCGUGUGCGAUGAAGGCCUUCGGGUUGUAAAGCACUUUUGGCAGGAAAGAAACGUCGCGGGUUAAUACCCCGCGAAACUGACGGUACCUGCAGAAUAAGCACCGGCUAACUACGUGCCAGCAGCCGCGGUAAUACGUAGGGUGCAAGCGUUAAUCGGAAUUACUGGGCGUAAAGCGUGCGCAGGCGGUUCGGAAAGAAAGAUGUGAAAUCCCAGAGCUUAACUUUGGAACUGCAUUUUUAACUACCGGGCUAGAGUGUGUCAGAGGGAGGUGGAAUUCCGCGUGUAGCAGUGAAAUGCGUAGAUAUGCGGAGGAACACCGAUGGCGAAGGCAGCCUCCUGGGAUAACACUGACGCUCAUGCACGAAAGCGUGGGGAGCAAACAGGAUUAGAUACCCUGGUAGUCCACGCCCUAAACGAUGUCAACUAGCUGUUGGGGCCUUCGGGCCUUGGUAGCGCAGCUAACGCGUGAAGUUGACCGCCUGGGGAGUACGGUCGCAAGAUUAAAACUCAAAUGAAUUGACGGGGGUCGAU